AUUGAAUAGUCAAAUUUCAUGGAAUAAAAUGUUUAUAAAACAAUUUUCCAAAAUGGCAAACCAAACGUAAUUUUCUAAUUUUUCUGUUUUGAGAAUUAUUUUUUUUUAAAUGAUUAAACAAAAAGAAUUUUUAGCAAUUUUAAAACAGGCCCACAAAGCAAAAAAAUUGAAAAUAACUUCAAAAUUCAAAUCUAAAAACCAAAACACAAACCAAACAGCCCUAAUAUUUCCUUUAUUUCAAUUUUCUACUAAUCAAUUGUCAAAAGAAUAAUACUAAUUGCACAUACCUUUUAUACACUUUUUUGUACAAAAAUCAUGGUUUGGGUGGUCGAGGGACUCCAACAGAUAAAUUUUGCAAUAGGAGAAAAUUUCUCCCCUGUUUGUGAUCAUGCGUGCAAGGCCAAUUUCCAAACAUGAGCCAUAAUGGCUCGAGUCAUGCUCACCAUGGCCCAGUGUCAACCCCAUCAUACAUGUGUGGUUUAGCUUUCUCCUAUUCCACUAUCUCAUUGAAGAACCUAGAAUUCCAAAUUGGAACAGGUGCGUAAGUUUGUUGGAAUGUCAAGAAAAAACCUACUUCAAAGGAGAGAACAUUGAUAUGGGAAGUCGCGGAAUACUGGGUUAUGUCUGUAGCCACUAGGAAGGUGAUUUGGUUAAACAAACUUCUAUUCGAUCUUUGCAUUUAUUUCAUCGUUGCAAUGCCUUUUCAUUGUGAUAAUAACAACAAACACACACACACACACACACACACACACACACACACACACACACACAUUCACAAAGGCAAUUUCAACAUCUUCUCAAAAAUUCACCACACUUCAACAAAUUUUCUCCAUAAAUCACUUGACCAUUUAAGUUCCAACAUAAUUAUACAUCAUAUAAAACUAGUUUUAGAAACAUUAAAUUUCAAGAAAUCCAAGGGUCUAAACUUUGAAGAUUUUCAAUUUUUGAUACUUUUCUUGAUUUCUUCCACUUGAUUGAAAAAAUUUCAUAUGUUUGAUGGAGAACGGGAUUAGUUGUAAUGGAGGCUAUGUAUUAGUUGAAAACGUUGGUAUUAAACACAUAUAUGUCAAUUUUUUUUGUCCCUACAUAAAAUCAUGCCCAUUACAUGCUCCAAAAGAAAAAGGGGUAAUUAUAUUACCACUACAAAAUUUAGUAGUUAC
rnacentral:lncRNA from 1 species